UGCAGUUUGCUGAUGGCUAGUAGGGU
rnacentral:piRNA from 1 species